rnacentral:rRNA from 1 species
UACGUAGGGUGCAAGCGUUGCCCGGAUUUAUUGGGCGUAAAGGGCGCGUAGGCGGCUCUGCACGUUCGUUGUGAAAUCGCCCGGCUCAACUGGGCGGGGUCAGCGGAUACGGCAGAGCUUGAGCAAGCUAGGGGGCAAUGGAAUUCCCGGUGUAGUGGUGGAAUGCGUAGAUAUCGGGAGGAACAUCAGUGGCGAAGGCGGCCAUCUGGGACAACACUGACGCUGAGGCACGAAAGCGUGGGGAGCAAACAGG